ACCCCUUCCCAUGAUUUCUUAGAUAUACCUCUAUUCGUCAUCAUAUUGGGGAGCUGAUCAGUUUCUCAGCUUUGGAAUUGGUUUUUUGGGUGUGCCGUUGGUGACUCCAAUUUGGCGUGGAUUUCAUGGAUCCUUUUUGGGAUUGGUAGAAAGUCCAGCGUUUAUGGUUAAGCUGAGCUGAGUUUUUUUUCUGGAAAAUAUUACUUCCGUCGAAAAAUCUGUUUAUGCAAUUCUCUUUUGAUGGUGAUUCCGUGAUUGUUGUCGUUCAUAUGGUUUGUUUAAUUUUAGUUUAUGGUAGUGUGAUAUUUGAUUUAUUUAAAGUGUCUCAUCAUUUGCCGUAACUGAAGAAACCGGACAAACUAA
rnacentral:lncRNA from 1 species